UACGGGGGGGGGCAAGCGUUGUUCGGAAUUACUGGGCGUAAAGAGCUCGUAGGCGGUUUGUCACGUCUGCUGUGAAAACUGGAGGCUCAACCUCCAGCCUGCAGUGGGUACGGGCAGACUAGAGUGCGGUAGGGGAGAUUGGAAUUCCUGGUGUAGCGGUGGAAUGCGCAGAUAUCAGGAGGAACACCGAGUGGCGAAGGCAGAUCUCUGGGCCGUAACUGACGCUGAGGAGCGAAAGCAUGGGGAGCGAACAGG
rnacentral:rRNA from 1 species